ACCAGGCUCCCAUUUACUUCUCGUCUUUGCUAGAUCUCGUCUUUGCCCCGCCCUAUACCCCUGGGGAUAACCUCCGUUUGACAAUUUCCCACCCUGGGAUAUUCUCUUAUGCAAUGUUCCCGGGUUUCCCGGGGGGGAUGGUAACAGUACGAAUUGACUCAUACAUAACGGGAAGAUUUAUGGGCCACAUCCGUGCAGACAUUUGAACAAUGUAUUUUCCUAUAUACAAUAAAAUUGCCAUUACAGUUUGUAUACAUCUGAGUAUGGAUGUAUGGGUUAUGUAAAAAUGAUGAGUAUAUGAUGAAUUUGUUCACCUGUGAUAUAUGUCAAUUGUCUUCGUAUAUUACCACAGAGUAAAGAUAUAUCAGAGAGGAACAGACACCUCGAUAACGUGAAUUUUUGUGUCACGCGUUCCACGCAGGUUCCACGCGCCACGCAAAAUCUUCCAGCCAGUGCCGUCGCUGAAAUUUCAUAGCAAACGAUAGGGAAAACACCGUUCGAAAGGUGAAAAUCGCUUUUUUUAAAAAAAUGAGAUACCCAUGGAAGUUUUGUUCAAUAAAUUCUUGUAGAAUAACGGUAAGGGAUCACUUUUAUUGAUUUCUUUUUAUUAAAAAUUAUUAUUUUGCAAAAGUUUUUUCCCCCUAUCUAUUCCUUAUUAAAAUCGUGAAAAGCACUGGCUGGAGGUUUCAGAUGCUCAUAUAUAAAAAAACGAAGCAGCAAAUGAUAUAAAUGCCUCAAAAUAUAACUCUUGCAUAAAAAAACAUGUUUACUUCUAUAAUACGUAUAGUUUUUCCUCUGCAUGGUCAAAAUUUAAUAAAAUAGCGAAUUAAUAUAGUUUUCUAUAGUAAAUAGACUGAAUAUAUCGGCGUGACACAAUUUGCCGCAUGUUUCCUCUCUGGUAUAUCUUUUCUCUGUGAUAUUACCGAGUAUAUAUGCUCAAUUACCGUAUGUGAUAUAUGAAAUAAGUAAAAAUUGCGUGUUUUACACAUAUUAAUUGGCGUAGUAUAUGUCAUAUGUGUUUAAAAUGCUGUGCCUGUGUUCAUGCUGUCUAGCUACACUUUAGUUUCUUUGCCAUUUUCUAAGGCCUCAGGAUCUUUGAUAACAUCUCCAGAUUUUGACUGCUCUUCUGGUUUGUACAAAUACCAGGAUAAAAAGUAGAAGGAAGCUGAGAAAA